CCCUACCCCGGAUAGAAGCGAAAAGCCUUUGCGUGAAAAACGUACAUUUUUGCCGAUGGAAAAAGCGACCGCAGGAAGCUAUUUUGCAGCGUGUCAAAAAUAACGUUUUUUAGCGAAGCCUGCAGCGGACAGCCGGAAUGGGU
rnacentral:sRNA from 1 species